UCUUUUCUUCUGAGUAAUAGCAGGCACUCUCAGGCUGUCAGAUGAUAUGCCAACAGCCUCAUGCUGAGAAGAGAGAAAAAAUAAACAUAGAAGAACAGGGUGCAGAGUUCUGCAAACUGGUGGCCACACACAUGAGCCCAACACUAUGUGGGGACUUCCUAGGAGCUAUUCUAUGGACUGUGUGAGGCCUGCCUUCCUUCUGCUGUUGGAUCUCAGUUUUCUUUGCAUCUUCUGAGAAAGCAAGUUCCCAGGUGUUUCAACAGUGGGUCUCUGAAAUGCUGUACUCUAAAGGCAGGACUCACUUCAUGUACAGAACCUUUCUGCUGAGAGGAAAGAUUUAAAACUGUGCUCAUCUGAUUCAGAACAUAUAUGGGAUUCACCAGUAUGACGCCUCAACAAAUGGCCUCUUCACACAUGUCAACAGCAGGCUCUUUUCAUGGAAGAUACACGAAAUAAGUAAGUAAAUAGUAGAGGC
rnacentral:lncRNA from 1 species